CCUANGGGGGGCUGCAGUCGAGAAUCUUCCGCAAUGGGCGAAAGCCUGACGGAGCGACGCCGCGUGCGGGAUGAAGGCCUUCGGGUUGUAAACCGCUGUCAGUGAGGUGGAAAUGCAUUGGGGUUCUCCCCAGUGUUUGACCUAAUCACAGAGGAAGUCCGGGCUAAGUUCGUGCCAGCAGCCGCGGUAAUACGGGCCGGACAAACGUUAUUCGGAAUCACUGGGCUUAAAGAGUGCGUAGGCGGCCAGGCAAGUUGGGUGUGAAAUCCCUCGGCUUAACCGAGGAAUGGCGCUCAAAACUGCAUGGCUAGAGGAAGGCAGGGGUGAGCGGAACUGAUGGUGGAGCGGUGAAAUGCGUUGAUAUCAUCAGGAACACCGGUGGCGAAGGCGGCUCACUGGGUCUUUUCUGACGCUGAGGUACGAAAGCUAGGGUAGCGAACGGGAUUAGAUACCCUGNUANUC
rnacentral:rRNA from 1 species